rnacentral:rRNA from 1 species
CCUACGGGAGGCUGCAGUGGGGAAUAUUGGACAAUGGGGGGAACCCUGAUCCAGCGACGCCGCGUGAGUGAAGAAGUACUUCGGUAUGUAAAGCUCUAUUAGUAGGGAAGAAAGAAAUGACGGUACCUGAUUAAGAAGCCUCGGCUAACUACGUGCCAGCAGCCGCGGCAAUACGUAGGCGGCAAGCGUUAUCCGGAUGUACUGGGUGUAAAGGGAGCGUAGACGGCGAUGUAAGUCUGAAGUGAAAGUCGGGGGCCCAACCCCCGAACUGCUUUGGAAACUGGAUGGCUGGAGUGCAGGAGAGGUAAGUGGAAUUCCUGGUGUAGCGGUGAAAUGCGUAGAUAUUAGGAGGAACACCAGUGGCGAAGGCGGCUUACUGGACUGUAACUGACGUUGAGGCUCGAAAGCGUGGGGAGCAAACAGGAUUAGAUACCCCGGUAGUC